GCGUUUCAAGGCUCAUAACCUCAUUCUUGCAAGCACUACGCUGCCAAAGUCAUGACUGUCUUCCUUGCAGAAGCGACUGCAAUGUCGAUAUUCAUUACUUUGGCAGCGCUGUGCUUGCCGAAUUAAGCCUUUGAGUGUUCGUAGA
rnacentral:pre_miRNA from 1 species